rnacentral:lncRNA from 1 species
UGCAGCCGUUUGACGCUUAGGUGGCUGCUCCUGUCCCGGCACAAUGCCGUGGGUGAGGAAGGCAAAGACAGCCUUCAGGUCAGCCACCCACUGAGCUUCGGCAGCGGCAGCAGCGGACGAGGUGUCACCGCCAGCGGCUGCCGGAGCCGCCGCCGCCGCCGCCAUCGCCGCCGCCAGGGCGCCCAGCUCCGAGCCAGCAGCAUCGCCAUCCGCAUCACCCACCACCACCCAUUCAGAGUCCGACUCGGAGCCGCCCGCUGCUGCCGCUGCCACUGAGGUGGUAGCUGCCGCAGUCGCUGGUGCGGCCUCUACCGCCGCUGCCGCCGCCGAGCCCUCCGCCACCUUGCGGCGCUUGGUUGCGUGCUGCUCGGGGUCCGGGUGCACUAGUCGCAGCAGGUCGGCGUGGCUCCAGCCGUUGCGCUGGCUGUACUUGGUCGCCUGGUACGCCACCGCGCCCGCCGUCUUGUCCAGGUACCAGCGGGCCACGGUGCGACGCAUGGCGCGGCCCCAGGUCAGCUUGCCGGAGCGACCAGCGAGCGUCAGCGCAUCGGCGGCCGGCGCGGCGGGCGGCCCGGCGCCGCCGCGGCGGCGACCUCGAGCAGCGGCGGCGUCGCGGGCGACUGCCCCCGCUGCCACGUUACCGCCCGCAGCCCAGGUAGCGAAGGCAGCUGCAUCGACUGCGCCCGACUCGGUCUUGCGCAGCUCAGCCGCCGCGCCCAGCUCCUUGCAGCGCUGCACCCACUCGAACAGGGUGGAGGCGGUGCGGCACACGGCCGGCACCGCAGACAGCGCCGCGCGGCGGGAGGCGGGGUCGCCCAGGCGAGCGCACAUGGCCAGAACCACGAUGCCUGCGGGCGGGGCGGGGACGCAGGCCAAGGCCUUGGGAGCGGGCAUGGCAGGGUAAGAGGGUGUUCGAAAGCAGCAGAGCACGUGGAAGGCACCAAGUGGUAUGGAAUGCAGAGUUGCUCCAUGUAUGCCCAUGACGGCUUGAAACGUCAAACCAAUGCAGCCACCUAUAGGUGCAUGGUCCCUUAGGUGAAUGCGAAGGGGCAGUCUGAGUAUCUGCUAACUCCGCCGCUAGGUUGCCGACCCUGCAUGCCGUCGUCCUCCCAUUCUCUCACCCGUGGCCUGCUUGGGCGCUCGCCCCUCCCGGCUGAUGUCGACGAGCUCCUUCACCACCGCCUCGCCCUGCCCCGCCGCCAGCAGCCGCGCCACGCACUGGGCAGACGCCAGGUCCACCGACUUACGCGAGACG